AACAGAAAUCAUAUUUGCCAGCCCUAACUGAAGGAAUUGUGAAACAUCUCAGAAGAUUGUAAGUUAUUAUAAAAAUGUUGUAAUUACCAUGCUAUUAACUAUGCCUUAUAGGAGUUGAAACUUUUGUUUAACCAAAAAUUAUUUCAAGAACAGACAGCUAAUUACUUACAUUUAGAAAAUAUAUUGCAUACAAAGAUAUGGAGCAUUUUAAAACGUAGCUUUAGGUUGAAAUGCAGUAGUCC
rnacentral:lncRNA from 1 species